rnacentral:misc_RNA from 1 species
GAUGAAGAACGUAGCGAAAUGCGAUAAGUAAUGUGAAUUGCAGAAUUCAGUGAAUCAUCGAAUCUUUGAACGCACAUUGCGCCCGCCAGUAUUCUGGUGGGCAUGCCUGUUCGAGCGUCAUUUCAACCAUCAAGCCCCCGGCUUGUGUUGGGGACCUGCGGCUGCCGCAGGCCCUGAAAAGCAGUGGCGGGCUCGCUGUCACACCGAGCGUAGUAGCAUACAUCUCGCUCUGGGCGUGCUGCGGGUUCCGGCCGUUAAACCACCUUCAUAACCCAAGGUUGACCUCGGAUCAGGUAGGAAGACCCGCUGAACUUAAGCAUAUCAAUAAGCGGAGGA